GGGAGUAUAAGAUCAGCGGUUAAUCUGCUAGGCUAUAGUGUAAGCAAUAACCUAUGUAACGGGGGGUUCGAAUCCCUCUGCUCCUA
rnacentral:tRNA from 1 species